rnacentral:rRNA from 1 species
GGGGCAAUGCGAAAGGCCUUACCAUGCAAGUCGAGGGGCAGCAUUAUUUUAGCUUGCUAAGAUAGAUGGCGACCGGCGCACGGGUGCGUAACGCGUAUGCAACCUGCCUGUAAUUAGGGAAUAACCCGGUGAAAGUCGGACUAAUACCCUAUAUUCUUCUUUUUCCGCAUGGGGAAAGACGGAAAGAUUUAUUGAUUACAGAUGGGCAUGCGUCCCAUUAGCUAGUUGGUAAGGUAACGGCUUACCAAGGCGACGAUGGGUAGGGGGACUGAGAGGUUGACCCCCCACACUGGUACUGAGACACGGACCAGACUCCUACGGGAGGCAGCAGUGAGGAAUAUUGGUCAAUGGGCGAGAGCCUGAACCAGCCAAGUCGCGUGAAGGACGACGGUUCUAUGGAUUGUAAACUUCUUUUGUAGAGGAAUAAUGGCAGCUACGUGUAGCUGAGAUGCAUGUACUCUACGAAUAAGUAUCGGCUAACUCCGUGCCAGCAGCCGCGGUAAUACGGAGGAUACGAGCGUUAUCCGGAAUUAUUGGGUUUAAAGGGUGCGUAGGUGGCGUAUUAAGUCAGUGGUGAAAAGCUGCAGCUCAACUGUAGUCUUGCCGUUGAAACUGAUAUGCUAGAGAGGAGACGAGGUAUGCGGAAUGUGUGGUGUAGCGGUGAAAUGCAUAGAUAUCACACAGAACGCCGAUUGCGAAGGCAGCGUACCAGGCUCCGUCUGACACUGAAGCACGAAAGCGUGGGGAUCAAACAGGAUUAGAUACCCUGGUAGUCCACGCAGUAAACGAUGAAUACUAG